AAGAGGGCACGAAUCCUAUUCCUUCCGAUUAGGGUUCGAAUCAAAGUAUGAUGGGAAUUUUCAAUCCAUCUACCUCUGCAGACUACAAUCAAGAAGAUCGAAUUUUACGGUCACUGAUUUCGGAAAUACCUAGAAGCCCAGAUCUCUCGUUAGCGAUUUCUUGACGCUGUGUUUGAACAGACCCUCUUAACUCUCAAGUUCAUCUGAAAAAAGAAGUGGUAACCUAACUUCUUAACGUCUCUUAAUCGCCGCCUCCAAGUUCAUAUCGCCUCCAUUUCUCUCAAAACACCUCCAAAUCGGUCUCCAGGUUUUUCUGUUGAUUUCAACCCUGUGGUUCGUCGCUGUGGCUCGACCCUGUGGUUCUCCCCUGUGUUCUUACCCUCAAAAAGUGUGUUAUAUCGUCGAUCAGAGGAAAAGUUUGUUUGUUUUUUCGUACUUGUUUUUUUUUUCUUACCCACAGUCCUUGUGUCAUGGUGCCUUGUUUGUUGUUACAAACUUGUUUGUUUCUGAUUUCCCCAAAUCUUCUGUAUGAUUUUCCCCAGAUCAUCUGUGUUUCAAGAUUCAAGAAGUUUCUGUUAGAACUUCUCAGUGUAGAUCCUCACAUUCUUUAGAAGGUCAUGAAUGGAGCUAUGACAAUGAACAGGGAAUGAAUGGUUAUGGUAAUGAUGAUUGAUGAUUAUGAUGGUGGGGAUGCAUAUGAUAGUGAGUAUUGAUCACAACAUCAUCUGUUUAUUUUUCUUUCUUUACUUCUUUAGUUACAUGAAUUGCCAAUAUAAGUUUUUGUCUUUCUGGGUCUUUUUAGCUCAUAGUAAUAGUAUGGUCAACAACUAAUGAAGAGGAGGUUUUUGAGGUGUAAAUUUCUUACUGAAAUUGUCUUGUUUGAGAUUUAGAAUUUGGUAUUGUAGAUGCUGAAAUCAUGGUAGUGUUU